CUCCUGCCCAUACCGCCCACCUCUAAUUCCUCCCCGCAGGCAUUUUCUCUCUCCAUUAUCUCCUCCACCGUCCCGAGCACCUCCAUGCCAGUUCCCCUGCCUCUUCACCGGCUUCCCCCUUCUUGCUGGAGCUACUCCUUCCGCCGGCCUCCCCUGCCUAGGACGAGCUGCCUUGAAGUCCCCCUGUCCUAGAAGGGCAAGUGUGCGGUCGGCUUCUAACCGCAUGUUGGAGAGAGGGCGCUGCGACCUGGUGGAGAGAGGCGCGGCUGGCGAUCUAUGGAGCGCGGCGGUGGAGCCACGCACUGAGGCCGGAGGUAGGCGGCAGCAGGUGGCGUUGCCUGGGCGACGAGGUAGAGGCGGCAUGGAAUGGGGCGUCGAGGUCGGCUGGGGCUUGACCGGGACAAACUGCUGGUCAGGUGCAGCUUGUGUGGAGGAGCAGCAGGGGUGGAGCGGCGCCGGCGGAUGGAGUGUUGCGCCCGACGGGUAUAUCCAGAAGCUCGGUCCCGUACGCAUCCCCUUCCCCUUCUUCUCACUUUCCAAAUUUCCCCCAAUUUUCUCAUUCUUUGCUGCUACUCCUUCUACGCAUGGUAAAAGCCCGAGACUAAGCGGCACUGCCCAGUGGCGUGCUUACCUUGACCCCCAUGGCGCGAGUCGGAACCCGGAAGAACAUGCAACAGAGUAAGUUCUCAGCGGGAGCAGGACGACAUGGAUGUGAUUCGUCGCAUUCACCUCCCUGGUGUCGUUCCCCAAUUUUUUAUCUAAUGGCCGGCGAGCUCCUCGUGUGGCUAUGGAUUGGCGUCCUUGCCACCACUGACGAAACCUCCACUGGGAGCGCCCUGGCCACCCACACACGACAGUGGCAGGUGGCCGCCGCGACCACCUCGCUGGUCCAAGACGCGGCGCCGCCGUAACCACUACUUAAUGGUGCUGCACUUAGGCAAGCCGCAUCAGCGGCGGCACGGGGAUAGCGCGGUGGCAUUCCCGAGUGCCAUGGCCCCUAGGAGAGGAGAUGACGCCGUUGCCGACAACCACGAGAGGGCCGCGAGGCUCCUGGAGGGCAGGUGCGAGGAAGCGUACACGACGGAGAAGGAGACGUGCCGCCUCCUCCACAAGCUAGCUGAUACGAGCUGAACCAUGGCUGGCAAUAUCAUGUCGGAGGUGAACAAUGAAGUGAAGGAGGGGUAUCUGAAGCUCAAGGCUGCACUUAUGUACCCAUUCAAUCCACAGAAUUUCCCUAAUUCUCUUUGGUAUUUUAAGAAGUUUCUCUCCAGAGAGUUAGUUCAUUGCCACUACUGGGGAUAUCUGAAUAAUUUCUCACAAUCAUGGAAUGUGUUGCCAUGGAUGUUUUACGGAUGGUUCUAAGGUAGCAUGAGUAGCUGCAAGUGUUCAAGUUAUUCGUAAAUCAUGAUUCACUCAUGGACUGAUGUUAUUAUGCAUGUUAUGUGUAUUCCAGAAGGAAAAAAGAAGUUAACCUGGUGAAUUGAGCUUACAUGUCCCGAGAAGCACAAACUUACCACAAAUUGUCAACAGAGACAGCUUGCGUCAGGUUCAUGAGUCCAUAAUACUAUUCUUAAGGAUGAGGGAGAUUAAGCACAAGUGUGCAAACCUCUAGCACUCUAGCUGAGCAGUAAGUUUGCUGUCAUCGUUGUUCCUGCUAGGUGACUGCCCAAUAGACCAGGUUAAUUUCUUCCACAUGUUCCCUCUAGGGCCGGUUCCCUCCUCUUCCUUGCUGCCGCAUGUGUGAAGCGGAGCAUCCAUCAAAGCAAAGCAGCGCGCGGGCGGUGAGGCGGUGUCACAGCGCCAGUCAAAGGGUGAGGAGGGCCUGCCCCGUUGCCGAGGUGCCGCGGGCCCCAUCGUUCCAGAAUCCUCUCUUGGGUCGAGCAGCCGGAUUCCGACUGCGAGCCGCAGCACGGCUAUCGAGCUCCGCGGCCCAGAGUUUUUGGACAAAAGGAACAAUGCCUUUUACCCAAGUGAAGCUCUCGCGCUCAAAUAAAAACAAAUCAGCGAAAGUGUCCUGUAGCUCCCGGGUGGGAUCUGGGGCUAGAAACAUGUCACUGAACUCACUUACAUCAUAACCGGUUGGCAAAGAAAUUGGGACCUCCCUCAUAUAAAAGUCUAACAUUUUGCUUAUUUCAGAAAGCACGGGUUCUUUAUUAUCACCCGAAAUUCUAUACGCUUUUAAAAGGUUGACAAUUUACCGCGAGCUCUUCCCCCGCGCAUCUGCUGCCGCUUCCGCUAUCACUGCAACCUGCUUCUCUAUUUAUGUCAGGUUGUGGUCGCGUUCUUCUUCAUUCCGCUGAUUGGUUUUUGUAUGAUACAUAUGCAACUGAUUGAUGCCAUGGCCGAUGGAUGCUCCUCUUGUUGAAUACAUGGGCUGUGUCCCCCUCUGAUUAAACUUCCUCAUCUCCAUUUGGAAGAUAUCCAGUGAUGUUGGUGAAGGGUGGUCCUCUUAUUUCGUACUACUGGUCAAUGUUAACUUCUCCAUCACCAUUUGGAAGAUGUACAUCCAGUGUUACUGUUGGUGGAAUGGUGGUCCUCUUAUUUCUUGCUAUUGGUCAAUGUUCAUCUGGAUGGGCAACACACUGUGUCUUCUUUUGGUCUGCAUGGUAGACCUUCAUGGCUAUGGCUAUGGCGCACUACUAACAAUUGAUAUGGAUUCUCAAAAGAGGGGAUUUGUCUAGCUAACUGGCAAUUUAAUUGUGCUACAGUAUAUUUCUAUAUUCCUUUUUGUUUGAUGCAAUAAUCUUAUAUGUUUAACUCUAUGUUCUUCACAACUUAGGAGAAGAAUAAGUACAUAUUUGCACUACUUUUACUUGUCCGUUCUUAUAGUUAUAUGCCCCUGUUAUUCAAAAAUAUGAAUUCUAUCAUAGAUAGAUAAAUGAACAAGGGACCAUUUAGGUUGGCUUAAAUGGUUCUUUUAGAGAUUCCGUGUUAUUGCUAAUUGUGGUAAUUUUUUUUUUGAUAAAUCAACCCACAAUUUUUUAUUUCGCUGGCUAAUUGAUGAAAUUUGAUACAAAAUGGUGCUUUGGUGUACUGGAGUUCUGUGUGUGGAACAAGCAAGCAGGUUUUGUUUUGAAGAAUUCAAGAUUAAUUUCAUGAUGCAUAUGGUUGGAUAAUUUUGAUUGAGAUAGAUUCAUGUAGUACUGUUAGGUUCAGACUUACUGAUAGACAUACACAUGUACCUUGGUCUCUUGCUUUUCACAUGGUAUGUAAUUAGCAUAUUGUUAUCUUAUACUAUAUUUGUUGUCAUGAUAUUGCACGAUAGACUAUUGAAAAAGUAUAAGGUAAAGCGAUAACAUGAUUCCCCCGAUUCAUUGAACCUGUUAUCUUACCAGACAUCCUACUUUAUAUUCUGAUAUUCUCUUCGGAGGUGUACAAUGGUUAUAGUUUUUAUAAAUGGUAUGAGAUUAACAUAGAUAUUCAACCACUGAACUUUUAUUUCCCAUCUUCUAUUUACGUGAAUAAUAUACUGAGUUCUAGCUCAAAGCCUGAAACCAAUCUAACAAAGAUAAACAGAUUAUAGUGCAUUGAAACUGCAAUCAAAUCUCCUAUUUACGUUUUGAUCUUUCACGCUAUUUAACUGAACAAGAAAGCCUACACACAGAAUGGUUCCGAACGGUGAGCUAUCGCUACUCCCAAAUUUGAGUAAACUGAACUACACGUAGAACAUUUAAUUUCAGAUGCUAACCUGUUCUGGAUAGAUUACACAUGCUGUUAUUUAUCUCAAUAAGUGAUAGUAUUUCUAGCAUUUUUUAUAUGUAUCAGGCUAAUUGAUAAAUUACCAAAAAAACAGUGAUUAGUAUAUAUCAGUGCAUGCAAAUUUAGUAAAUAGAGGCACUGUAACUGGAACUACAAACAAUGGGAUACCUCUAGAUGAUUUUGAAUGUAUGAAUCAAGGUCUUCACCAGCUUUUAGUAAAUAGAGGCACCGUAUGAUUAAGUUUUAUCUUUGCAUCCACUUGUUCCUGUUCUAUUCUGUUUUGGCCUUUUUCCAACGGUAACGUAAUAUUGUUGUCGAGAAUAGUAGGAAACCAAUCUGAUUUACUAUUUCCCUUUUUCUUGCGGGAAGUUCCCAUGUGGAUCUGUUCUUGAGCAACCAGGAACAAAAUGGCUGUAUGGGCAAGCUUUCCAUCUUUUAUGUAAUUCGAGAGCUCAGCCUUGUGGUGUCCAAAAAGAUCUUCUGCAAAACCACCAAGAUAGAGCAAGAACUGAGUACUCUUAGAUUUUAUAGGUAAGUGGUAGUUCUGAACGUAAAACACUGUUCUCACUUCCAACCAAAAGAAAAAACACAUUUUGAUUUUUUUAGCAAGUUGAAGAUGUUCUCUUAACGAGACUAAAAUAAUCGUCAGAUCUAGCACAAAGAAAAUCCUUACUUUGAUAAGUAUUGGUGGUAAAAUGAAGGAAAGUUAUGGACAUAUAUUGUGUUACUUUCUGAAAAUUGUUGCAGUGCUCAACGAAAUUGACCUAACUGUUGUUUGGUUGAUCAGUUUGUCAUUUUCAGGCCAUCAUAUUUGUACACACAUGAUGUUCUUGAUCCGUGUGUUUCUAGGUGUUAAUUGAUAUCUUCUAUAUGCAAAAUCCUGCACUCCUCAUUUGGUUGUGAUACCUCUCUUCGAAUGUCUCUUUAGUACACUAUGAUAGUUGGAAUUGCAUUCUCGAAUUUCUCGCUAACAGAAUUAAUAAGCUUUCAGAUUCGUGCAUCAAAGUAUUCUUUGUUUUUUUUUUGCAUUUUACUCCCCCUGUGUAGUUAGCUCUGCUUUUCCAUAUUAUUCUUUGAAUCCCGAUUUAUUUAGUUAAAUCUGAACUACAUACUUGAAUGACUUUCUCCUAUAAAGAAAGGGAAAUGUAUCGAGCUUAACCUUUAGUAUCGAGAUGACUUUCUCUAUUGAGAUGUACCGAGAAAGAGCUAAAAGAUACUUGCAAUAGAUGAAAAUGGUGUAGCAGGUUCGUAUGGAAGAAGCAUUGUAUACUAAGUACUUGACCAUCUGUAGAAAUAUACACUACAAAUGGUUUCAUGUACAUACAAUGCUAUCUCCACUCCCAGUAUAUCUAUGUUGAAUAUCCAGUUGAUUACUAAAUGCUUUAUGCUUUUUCAAUUUCAGGUUGUAUUUCACACCAAUGUGAUCAGGUGAUCAUUAUUUUGUUCUCCUAUCCGUGUUUAUCGUACACUGAAGGUUUUUCCAAUGCCAACGGUUGGCAUGUGAACUUAUUUGUGGUUCAUGUGAAGCUGGUACUAGAAGGCACAUAUAAUUUGUACUAUGAACUGGGGCCUUCUACAAUAUUUCAUUCUGUUUGAGUACAUGUUUCUCUAGAGUUGUUACAUGCAGUCACAUGUAUGCUCUGUGCACUCAGUUAAUUGAUGUUGUUUUUGCUCCUUCACUUCGAGGAUAUAUUUUUGUGCAUACAAGAUCAGACGGCCCAUUUCGUCUCCCUCUAUGUAGCAGUGCCUUAUCCUGAAGUUUUUUGUGAUAACAAUGUUCGUGAGCUUGCAUCUUACCAGUCAUACAUGCCUCAUACAGACAAAAUGGAAAAACAAGCUUUUUCCCUGUUGCAAGAAUAGUUUCUGCAUUCCUAUCUAUUUUUUCGAUUAGCCACCUCUCUAAAUGGUUGGUGGCGUGGAGGACAACUGCACUGAGCCGCUCAGCAAGGACGGGCCACCACCAAACGCCAGAGAACAAUGCCUACACCACAGAUUAUUUAUAUGAAUACAGAAAAAUGCAUCAUACUAAAGGCAUGUUUGUUUCCAUGGAUUUUUCUAAAUUUGUUUUAUAAUGCGCACUACCUUUUGUGUUUCUACCAGUGGCUGUUACUCCUUUUGUUUCUCCGGAGAAGGCUCAUGGACAAGCAUCACGAUUUAUACUUUCUGUUUCCUGACAGUAAAACUAGAGUUUAAAAAAUAGAGUACUACAUUGUUGACUUAAUAAGCAUGUGAUAGAAUCAAGCUUUUUUUAUGUAUAUCUGGUGCUGAAAAGUGAUAGCAUUCUACGAUGGAGAUUUCCUGUUUAUACACAAUUUGACUAAAUUUAGAACGCUGCAGUGUUUUUUUUACUACAAUCAGAAUUUAGGAGCAUGCAUUAAUUCAAGAAUUCAUGUGUUCAUGGUUAUAGAGAUCUGUCAAUAAACGUAACUUAAAAGGAGUUCAUUAAAUCAUGUUGCUGUUUGUAUUUGAAUCGAAUGGCCUAGACACCACACUUCAGUAAUACGUUUUCCACACAUUUUUUCGAGCUGCUUUCAAUAAAUUAUGGAUUGAUUUUCACUCUUUCCCUUUCUUCUUUGGCCUGUAGCUACCUUCUUAUUUUUUUUAAAAAAAUCUUGAUUCUUUACAAGGAAAGGUUUGGCCUACAAGUUUAAUUCACUACAAUAUUUGGCUGGUAUGGUUAAAGCUUAGGAGCAUGUAAUAGAUUCAAAUAAUUUGUCGGUUCCAACUGCUGAUAACAUGCUACUGAUAACAUUCCAUGAUGCAUACUUGCUAUUUCUCAGGAAAACAAAUCCUAAUUCAAAAUUCAGGUCACUGCACCGUUUCUUUAAUGUGAUUCACAUUGAGGAGUGUACUACAUAAUAAAUACGUUAAAGUCUUCCCGGUGCCGACGAAAAUUUGAUAGUUACAGAGAACUCUGAAUAAACAUAGCCUAGAACUUAUUGAUUUGACUGCCCUAUUUACAGAGAACUCUGAAUAAACAUUGCUUUCGUAUGUGCUGAAAAUACCAUGUCUUUCGACUUUUGCCUGCCUUCUUCCGUUCAUUAAGUACUUAUCGGUUCCUGUUGUCUUACAAUUUUGAUUUGCUGCUUGCAGGAUAGCCAAUCGAUGUGGUACUUCCUCUAUCUGCAUAAUUUAUUGAGUUGUUGAAAUUUCAAUUAUGUUUCAUUUCACUGUUUCUAUUCCCCGAUUGCUUUAGGUUUCCGACAAUCUUCCUUUCUUCCUUAUUCUAGCUACUUGGUGUGGGUGAUCAUACUAAGGCGGGCCUAAUCAUGUCUUCUUAGUUCUUACAUUGUGGUGCUUCUUUUUGGUACCACAAGAGGUAUAAGCAUGAAAGCGUGGGCGCAAAGUUGUCUGCAACGAAUUUUGUUGUAAGAGCAGGGUAUCUCUUCCUGUUUACCAGGAUUGGCCCUCUCCCUUCGUCAAAUUACUUGGCCUUAAUGGAGGUGCCGAGUCUAACUGUUUCAU